AGUCGAACGAUGAUGCCCAGCUUGCUGGGUGGAUUAGUGGCGAACGGGUGAGUAACACGUGAGUAACCUGCCCCUGACUCUGGGAUAAGCGUUGGAAACGACGUCUAAUACUGGAUAUGACCGCCGAUCGCAUGGUCUGGUGGUGGAAAGAUUUUUUGGUUGGGGAUGGACUCGCGGCCUAUCAGCUUGUUGGUGAGGUAAUGGCUCACCAAGGCGACGACGGGUAGCCGGCCUGAGAGGGUGACCGGCCACACUGGGACUGAGACACGGCCCAGACUCCUACGGGAGGCAGCAGUGGGGAAUAUUGCACAAUGGGCGAAAGCCUGAUGCAGCAACGCCGCGUGAGGGAUGACGGCCUUCGGGUUGUAAACCUCUUUUAGUAGGGAAGAAGCGAAGUGACGGUACCUGCAGAAAAAGCACCGGCUAACUACGUGCCAGCAGCCGCGGUAAUACGUAGGGUGCAAGCGUUGUCCGGAAUUAUUGGGCGUAAAGAGCUCGUAGGCGGUUUGUCGCGUCUGCUGUGAAAUCCCGAGGCUCAACCUCGGGCUUGCAGUGGGUACGGGCAGACUAGAGUGCGGUAGGGGAGAUUGGAAUUCCUGGUGUAGCGGUGGAAUGCGCAGAUAUCAGGAGGAACACCGAUGGCGAAGGCAGAUCUCUGGGCCGUAACUGACGCUGAGGAGCGAAAGCGUGGGGAGCGAACAGGAUUAGAUACCCUGGUAGUCCACGCCGUAAACGUUGGGCGCUAGAUGUAGGGACCUUUCCACGGUUUCUGUGUCGUAGCUAACGCAUUAAGCGCCCCGCCUGGGGAGUACGGCCGCAAGGCUAAAACUCAAAGGAAUUGACGGGGGCCCGCACAAGCGGCGGAGCAUGCGGAUUAAUUCGAUGCAACGCGAAGAACCUUACCAAGGCUUGACAUACACCGGAAACGGCCAGAGAUGGUUGCCCCCUUGUGGUCGGUGUACAGGUGGUGCAUGGUUGUCGUCAGCUCGUGUCGUGAGAUGUUGGGUUAAGUCCCGCAACGAGCGCAACCCUCGUUCUAUGUUGCCAGCGCGUUAUGGCGGGGACUCAUAGGAGACUGCCGGGGUCAACUCGGAGGAAGGUGGGGAUGACGUCAAAUCAUCAUGCCCCUUAUGUCUUGGGCUUCACGCAUGCUACAAUGGCCGGUACAAAGGGCUGCGAUACCGUAAGGUGGAGCGAAUCCCAAAAAGCCGGUCUCAGUUCGGAUUGAGGUCUGCAACUCGACCUCAUGAAGUCGGAGUCGCUAGUAAUCGCAGAUCAGCAACGCUGCGGUGAAUACGUUCCCGGGCCUUGUACACACCGCCCGUCAAGUCAUGAAAGUCGGUAACACCCGAAGCCGGUGGCCUAACCC
rnacentral:rRNA from 1 species